UGCAAGUCGAACGAUGAUCCGGUGCUUGCACCGGGGAUUAGUGGCGAACGGGUGAGUAACACGUGAGUAACCUGCCCUUGACUCUGGGAUAAGCCUGGGAAACCGGGUCUAAUACCGGAUACGACCUUUCACCGCAUGGUGGUUGGUGGAAAGAUUUUUUGGUUUUGGAUGGACUCGCGGCCUAUCAGCUUGUUGGUGAGGUAAUGGCUCACCAAGGCGACGACGGGUAGCCGGCCUGAGAGGGUGACCGGCCACACUGGGACUGAGACACGGCCCAGACUCCUACGGGAGGCAGCAGUGGGGAAUAUUGCACAAUGGGCGAAAGCCUGAUGCAGCGACGCCGCGUGAGGGAUGACGGCCUUCGGGUUGUAAACCUCUUUCAGCAGGGAAGAAGCGAAAGUGACGGUACCUGCAGAAGAAGCGCCGGCUAACUACGUGCCAGCAGCCGCGGUAAUACGUAGGGCGCAAGCGUUGUCCGGAAUUAUUGGGCGUAAAGAGCUCGUAGGCGGUUUGUCGCGUCUGCUGUGAAAGCCCGGGGCUCAACCCCGGGUCUGCAGUGGGUACGGGCAGACUAGAGUGCAGUAGGGGAGACUGGAAUUCCUGGUGUAGCGGUGAAAUGCGCAGAUAUCAGGAGGAACACCGAUGGCGAAGGCAGGUCUCUGGGCUGUAACUGACGCUGAGGAGCGAAAGCAUGGGGAGCGAACAGGAUUAGAUACCCUGGUAGUCCAUGCCGUAAACGUUGGGCACUAGGUGUGGGGGACAUUCCACGUUUUCCGCGCCGU
rnacentral:rRNA from 1 species